rnacentral:rRNA from 1 species
GACAGAGGGUGCAAACGUUGCUCGGAAUCACUGGGCGUAAAGGGCGUGUAGGCGGGAAGGAAAGUCAGAUGUGAAAUCCCUGGGCUCAACCCAGGAACUGCAUUUGAAACUCCCUUUCUUGAGUGUCGGAGAGGAAAGCGGAAUUCCUGGUGUAGAGGUGAAAUUCGUAGAUAUCAGGAGGAACACCGGUGGCGAAGGCGGCUUUCUGGACGACAACUGACGCUGAGACGCGAAAGCGUGGGGAGCAAACGGG